AUACAGAGGGUGCGAGCGUUAAUCGAAAUUACUGGGCGUAAAGCGCGCGUAGGCGGUCUAUUAAGUCAGAUGUGAAAUCCCAGGGCUCAACCUUGGAACUGCAUCUGAUACUGGUAGACUAGAGUUUUGGAGAGGGAAGUAGAAUUUCAGGUGUAGCGGUGAAAUGCAUAGAUAUCUGAAGGAAUACCAGUGGCGAAGGCGGCUUCCUGGCCUAAAACUGACGCUGAGGUGCGAAAGCGUGGGUAGCAAACGGGAUUAGAAACCCCGGUAGUCC
rnacentral:rRNA from 1 species